UGGGGGAUAUUGCACAAUGGGCGAAAGCCUGAUGCAGCGACGCCGCGUGGGGGAUGAAGGCCUUCGGGUUGUAAACUUCUUUUGCUCUGAACAAGGCGCACCAUGGGGUGUGUUGAGUGUAGGGGUUGAUUAGCGCCGGCUAACUACGUGCCAGCAGCCGCGGUAAUACGUAGGGCGCGAGCGUUGUCCGGAAUUAGUGGGCGUAAAGGGCUUGUAGGUGGCUGGUUGCGUCUGUCGUGAAAGCUCAUGGCUUAACUGUGGGUUUGCGGUGGGUACGGGCUGGCUUGAGUGCAGUAGGGGAGGCUGGAAUUCCUGGUGUAGCGGUGGAAUGCGCAGAUAUCAGGAGGAAUACCGGUGGCGAAGGCGGGUCUCUGGGCUGUUACUGACACUGAGGAGCGAAAGCAUGGGGAGCGAACAGG
rnacentral:rRNA from 1 species